GACCUCUUGAGGACUUGAAGCUCCACUAGAGCUCUUGAGCCUAGAUGGACUAUUAUACCUCUUUAGGACCUAAGAAGUGAGCAAAGCGUGCGUGUGUGUGUGAUUGUGUGAGUGCAAGUGUGUUUCAUCCCCCCAAAAAGUCAAACCAAAGUGUCAAACUCCUCUACCCUAAACAAACACCGUUCAGCAAUGUUUGUGAACCAAAACAAAACAACAAAUAGUCCAUUCAAGACAAUUAUCCGUUUUGUCUGUUCGAAUCAUCGCAAAUAAUGUGCUGUUCUGCAAAGAAAGAGCAACAUUUACCACAUAAGUUUUGAUGCGUUUUUUUUUGUUGUUGCUGUUGAUCAGUUUUCAUUGCGUUUGGACGUUUGUUUUUCUGUCAACACGCUUAUCGGUGUCCGUUAUCGGACGGUGUGGUGUCGCUUGUACGAAGGAAAACAGACAAACCAAAAUAAAAUUCUGAUACACGCGCCCGUUUCUGUGUGUGAUGCACAUCUUCCAACAGGUACCUUUUUUCGAACUGCAAUAUUAUAAUCGGACGGGCUAAUAACCGUCUAUGCAACGGGUUGAAGAGCGCUCGAGCGCCCGACGUGCGGCAAUAAACGCUGACAGCUUCAACGGCCGUACAAACCAAUUUACGAUUAUUGGGCUCAUAAUUUCUCGUGGUUCGGGCCGGGCCAGCCGUGCGUUAAAGGCGUUAGGCGUUGUGCCGUUUGCUGGCUUGCUGAGCACCUGGAGCAUAACAACAGCACGAAAAACAAACAGAUAGGUUUGGGCGGAUAAGGAAGACACCCAUAAAGCACGCACGCGAAUGGUUUGGCGACGGGAUCGAUUUAUGAACCAUUAAUCAGCCAGGUGGGACAAACAUCAUGAUCAUGAUCAUUCAUGAUUAUGGUCAUCUUACUCGUUAAAUAAACGGCCCACGAAACGAAAGUAACCAAAACAAAAAAACGAAACGCAAAGCCACGAGAAAACCAGUGAAACCCGAGAGGAACUAAAACAAAAGAUCAAGCACAUGGUUGGACAUACUUCAUCUUCUGUUCUGUCGUGUCCCGUGGUUCGGUACGGCUGUAAGACGAUCCCACCGAUAACCCAAAAACUCAAAUCGACACUAAAAACAAUUAAGCAAAAGUGGCAAGAUGUUCAACCCGGCUGUGGAGAUGAUUUAGAUGUACUCUGCCUAUCGAGCGCUAGUGUCUGCUGAUGUGAGUGUAUGUAAGGUGGUUGGAUCAUCUACUUCGCAGCAAACGUCACUGUACACAGGUUUGAGCUCCAUAUCUGAGGACUCAUGGGCGACUUGUAUAGCCGGUGCUGAAUCAGCAGAAUCUUCUGCCACCGAUCCCACAGCUUCAGACAUCCUCACCGCCUAAGCUAAGCCGUCGAUCCGAUAGGUCUUAUUUCAACGCUAGCGCAUAAAUAUACAUUAAUGAUGUGAAACACGAACUGGGCGACCCCGCAGGGAACGCACGCGCACCGACGCCGAACACGAUGGGAAUGAAAAUCAAUAAUGAAAACCGCACCCCGCCCACUGGUGGCCACCGUUUUCCUGGUAACCGGGUCCUCCCGCAGCCUCCAGCCUCCAGGGCGAGGCUUCCUGCUGCCGUUGCGCUGCAUGUAUCGUAAUUCCCAUCGCCUACCCGUCUGAUCCGAGCGUUGGACCAAAAAUUGGUGAAUUUAUCUCCCCCGGAGAGUUUUUUUCUUUCUGUUGUUUCAUUUAGAUUUUUCUUUCAUGCUGCGUAUCAUUUACAACCUUCUCCUUAAUACUACUUAGAAAGCAAACAAACGAACCACACAUCAUUGCUUGCCAUGUGACAAUCGCUUGAUGCUUACUCCCGUUCCUUCUAAUCUAUCGCCGAAGCCUUUGCGAUGCCGGAUUUUUGACACGCAAGUGAAGAAAAGCCGAGAAAGCAGCAACGAGAAGUAAAACAUCCAUUUAUUAACAUCCGACAAGAACAACACAACGUUACAAGCACGUCAAUAUGAAAACAUGAUAAUUUCCUAAUUUAUUGCCACUAUAAAUUUUAGCGUUUAAAGUAAAUAUAGCAGACGCAUUACGGUGGUUGUGUGAAGUAGCGACGAGGGUACGGCGAGGGACUGCCUCCUUUAUCUGGUAGACUUGAAAGACUUCCAAUAAACACCUGAAGCAUGAAUUAAUAACAUUAAAAACCUGACAACGAGAGAGAGAGAGAGAGAGAGAGAGAGAGAGAGAGAGAUGAGUGGGAGAAUUGACACAGAGAACAGCAAGAAGAAUCCAUGGGCAGAAGAAAACCCCGAAAGAAAUUUAAAUGAAUUGAUGGUAGAGAGAUUUGAAAGAUUUGAUAGCGAUUCGUGGUUCCUCAUUGUGGUGCCUUUUUUGUCAACGGAAAGGUUCGAUUUUAUUGUCUUUCCCACCGCAGCCUCCGACUUGCGGAGCUGACCGGAAGAGCUGAUUUUUUUGUUUUUGUCCCCUUUUUGCAAUGUGGUCCACGAAAUUCGCACGAAAUAGCCGGAACCGGUUCACAUUUUUACAGUGCGUUUAGUAUUAUUGCUUCAUUUCGUUCUCUCUUCAUUGCCCAGCUUGCUGUGUGUGUUUUUGCAAUAGAGUUUGCUUAUUAAUAUUUAACAACGCGAACUAAUUACGAGCGCAUGCGGCUGCAUUCCACAGGCGCAGGUCAUCAACACAAAAAUGUACCGCCAAACCCUUCGAUGCACUUUCAAGAGGAAGCUUUUAUUUCACUUUUCACCAAGCGUAAGUGGAUGGUCCAGAUAGGGUACUCGGUAUACGCACUGGUUAUUCGAUGCGAAACGGGAUACUACACACUGGCCGGUAAUCGAAUCAUGAUAUUUGCUCUCGGUUUUAUAUCGUGCGCGCUUCGAUAAGAGUAGAGUGAUUAAAGAGAGAGUGAGAGAGAGAAAGAAAUAAAGAGAGGGAUUUUAUUAUAUAUUUUUUUUUUUUGAGAAAUGCUCUCCAAACGACAAAUCAGUAUAAAUGUCCCCUACGUCGUCAGCUCUGAUCUGCGGAAAACACUGCGCUGUACUUCCUAUGUAUGUAUGUAGUCAUUUUUCCAGGUGUUAGAAUAACUCAAGGAGGCGUAUUACUACAAGCUUACUUACUGAUCAGAUGCUACAACCGCUCCCAAGACCUUCAUCUGCUGAAGUUCCUCUACCAACUCUAUAAGCCUUCUGGUAGGCGCAUCAACGUCAUUACUCGA